UCAGCCGCCAUCUCUUCUGUCCCUCGGCCCGCCCGCCCGCUCAUCCCUCCCCCUCUCCUCCGCCGCCAUUGUUCCCUCUGGCGCUCUCGCCCGUUGCUACUCCUUGUUGCCGCUGUGCCAGGGGAUAACCAUGGUCGCGCCGCCGGGAGGAACACGCCGUCCUCCUGCCGGAGGAGGCAGCAGGAGAGACAGGAUAUGAGAAGGAGAGAGAAGAAAGGAGAGGGUGGAGAAAGAGAGAUGAAAGAGGAGAGGGAAGUGCGGUGGCUGACGGGAGAGGGUCACCGACCGGCGUCGUCAGCCUGCGCCGGUGAGGUCGGGCGCGCCCUGCCGGUUGGCGGCGGCUCGAUCCGCUCCUGGAUCGGGAGCUGCGAGGAGGCUGGUGCUUGGGCGCGAGGCACGGGACGCUGCACUCCACCUCAUCCUCUUGGUGCGGACGGUGGCAUCAGCGGGUGGGCGACGGACGGCGGCAUCAGCUGGUGGGCGACGGACGGCAGCCUCAGCAGGUGGCCGACAACACCUGCAGCUGGUGCUAUACCCAUGGAUUCCGGCACAGCUUGAAACACUCAGGUGCUGAUCGGCGUUGGAUUUCGGCUUUAUAAACUUGGCUUUUCAGGGGUUAUUUUUGCUGCAUCGCCUGCUUAUUUGCCAUGCUUCUGUAUUCUUGGAAGAGUGAAUAAAAGGUACAUGAUGAAAUACAGGCAGCCAAGUGCGUGGAAAUUGGUCUUCCAGAACUCAUCCUAAUGGUUGCAUUUUCUCAGGUUUCCCCUUGCCAUCGGCCGCAGCGGUGAGCAUAGGGGCAGCGGUCGCGGUUGCUCGAGGAGCACAACCGCACGGGGGCUGGUCCUGCCACCGCCAGAGCAGAGUGGAGGAGGUCGAUGCAGGGUCAGGAGGGGCACCGGCGAGGGUCAUGCCGCAUGGGAGCUCGCGGUGUCUAGAGAGCAAUGGAAGAAAUGGAAGGAUGAUGUUUUGGGUGUGUGCACAUGUAUAGCACUAGCUUUUUCAGAUGAUUGUGAAGCUUAUGGAAGAGGCAUAUCUGAAUGCUUGCUUUGAGCAUUUUUUGCUCUAAACAUGGUAACCCCUGUUCUUACAUACAAGAAGGUGCUCUCGAUUACUUCUUGGCAAAUGAUCAAUAUAAUUGAUUAUUUUCUUAUGACAUAUCCGUUUGCAUGGAACUAAAAAGAACAUUGGUUUUCUGAGAAAAUAAGAUUAGGGAAGUCACACAUGUUGUUUAAAUCAAGUAAGGUAGCAUAUAUGUAGCUUUACUUGCUAAUUUUGCAUCAUGGAUGCUGAAGUUCCUAGAGGUAAAGCAGAAACCUGAUACCAUGUACAGCAGUGCAAGUGUCUUGCCUGGUGUUCUUUAAAAAAAUUCUUACAGACGAAUGGCUGGACUGAAAUUUUCAAUAUAACAAGUACUUGUUUUCUACAGUUGGUAGCAUAUAUAUAGCUUACGGAGGUCUCAUGUAAUAGACAUCUAAGUGAAACUUGGGGAUCAUCUUAUAUCCUCAUGUUCACUUCUUUCCCUUUUAUUUCGUCCCAUUCUGUUAUCUAAGCGUAAGUUCAGUUUCAUUUGCUGAAGUUAGAGCUGUGGUGUACCUUUGGAUGAGUAUACUACUGAGAGGGUUUAGAUCAGAGAACUAAACAAGCUGUGGGUCAGUGGCUAACCAAAUGCCACUGACCAUACAGCUCUUUGCCACUUGGAUACUAGAAGCAAAUCAAAAUGAGCAGGAAGGAAACAACACUGGUUUUUAGUAGAUAUAUGUCUGUGAUUUACUUGCAAUGUUGUUCCUUGCAAAACUUUUCCUGGCAAUCCUGAAAUGAUUUCUCGAAAUAUGGGAAAAUUUAUAUUCUAAAAACUGUACGCACACUGAGUGAAGCAUACAUAUAAUGCUAUUAUAACAUAGGUCAGGUGUAUAUAUAUAAUUUUCUAUAUGCAAUGUUGAUGUUAUUACUAUCUCUUUGUAGCUUCAUAUAAAGUUAGUGUUGACAUGGUCAUUUUACAGAAUGAGUGAAAAUGGUAGGUUGGUAGAAUCAUAGCCUGUGAGUGCCUUAAUAAGUUUUUUCAUUAUCUAUAAUAUAUUGUUUAGGGCCAGUUUAGAUGUGUAGUCGAAAAAUAUGAGUAAAAACAGUGAAUAUUUUGCAUUGCCUUGGUGUUUAGUGUCUAUUGCAUAAUCCUUUUUUUCUUCUCUUUUCAAAGCAAGGACCAGGCUGGGAGCAUAUGUUUAUAGUAAAGUUCUUUCAUUGCAGACUGCAGACUUCAUAGUAACUUCAUGUUCUUAGUGGUGAUCCAUUAGCCGCAGACCUUGCCUAUCAGCUAACGGUAGUCCAUGUAAAUGCCUUUAAUUCUUACAAUUGAAUACUUGUCAGUGUUACUGCUAGCCUUUUACCUUUGUAAUACAUAGUAAGAAAUUUCUGAAGCUUUAUCUUGCCAUAUGUAUCUAAUUUUUUGUUGGCCGUGUUAGAAAUAAUCAAUGAUUUUGCCAUGUGGGAGCUCAUGCUUAUGGGUAAGUUGUCUGGCUAGAAUUUCUCUGUACAUACACUUCUUUCUUUAGAGAACUAGAAUUGUUUGAUACUGGUAGUGUAUGUCGAGCUGACUAAGAUGCAUGCUUUUUUCUCUACUUGGCAUCUGCUUCUCUUAAUUUUUCUAUAAUUCUUCCUUUACAUGUUGGUGCGUUUUGUAGCCAGGUUCAGAUCGGUGAUACCCGUGCAAAUGGAUGAGCUACAUACUCGAUGAAGCUGAUCUUGGGCUCAGCCCUUCAACUCCAUCUUGCAACUCCUGGAAGUUCCCUGGCUAAGCAGCACUCAAAAACAAAGGAUUACUGAAGCGGUGACAGGGUGGGUACACCUGAGGCGAUUGAUGUCAAGAUCUGAGCAUGUGGAAUUUCGUUUGUCGAGUCCUGGCACCAGCAUUGUUGGCUGUUUUUU